GUCAUUUUUUGAUUUUCUCAAGAGUUUUCCCAGCAAAUGAGAAAAACCGGUAAAAAAGAACAUAAAAAAACCGGGGAAAUCGAUACAACAUUAUACAAAUAUUAUUGAAUAUAAUAUAUUGAGCCUAUUUAAUUAUUUUACUAUAAUAUGGCAUACAUAUUUUCGACAAAGCAUCACUAUCAACCGAAUUUCGCUCAGAAUCGUUUUUUCGUGAGCAAUGGUUUAUCGUUGCUUACAAAUAUACAUUAAAUAUUCUGUGUUUUAACUUCCCACCUGUGCAACGGUGACUGCGAUCGUCCACAUUAUUCUAGGACAGCGUUUUUUUUUUUUUUUUUUUUUUUUUUGUAUCUAUACAAAACGUUGAUAAUUAUAUUUUAUCUUCAUCCGUAGAUAACUAUUCUAGCAAUUAUCUCUUACCUAUGUCUAGAUAUUUUAAAAUGUAUCUGUAUAUAACUCGCGCGGUGCAUAAUUAUUUUCAAAACGAUGAUGGUGCGUGUAAUCCGCGAGUUUUUCAAAUACUGUCUAAUCCGUUUGUUGGUUUUUUUUUUUUUUUUUAGUCGACCGAGGGUAUAUUUUUUUUUCAAUAUUUUAAUAUUCGCAUUUCCCUCAGGCGACGUUGAUAUUUAAUUAACACAAAGCUGUAAUACAUAUACUGUACUACAUAGAAAUCGCUUUAAGAGAUAUUACAAUAUUGAUGGUAAUAAUAAAACGGGUUAUUUCAAUGCAAUAUUGCGGCCCUUUGAAGUGAGCUAAAAACGUCUUCAUUCGUAACUGUUGCGGACCAUCAUAUUAUUACCGCGACCCGUUGAGAAAGUAUA